rnacentral:rRNA from 1 species
GACGAACGCUGGCGGCGUGCCUAAUACAUGCAAGUCGAGCGCAGGAAACUGACGGAACUCUUCGGAGGGAAGGCAGUGGAAUGAGCGGCGGACGGGUGAGUAACACGUAAGGAACCUGCCUCAAGGAUUGGGAUAACUCCGAGAAAUCGGAGCUAAUACCGGAUAGUUCAUCGGACCGCAUGGUCCGUUGAUGAAAGGCGCUCCGGCGUCACCUUGAGAUGGCCUUGCGGUGCAUUAGCUAGUUGGUGGGGUAACGGCCCACCAAGGCGACGAUGCAUAGCCGACCUGAGAGUGUGAUCGGCCACACUGGGACUGAGACACGGCCCAGACUCCUACGGGAGGCAGCAGUAGGGAAUCUUCCACAAUGGACGAAAGUCUGAUGGAGCAACGCCGCGUGAGUGAUGAAGGUUUUCGGAUCGUAAAACUCUGUUGUAAGGGAAGAACACGUACGAGAGGGAAUGCUCGUACCUUGACGGUACCUUACGAGAAAGCCACGGCUAACUACGUGCCAGCCGCCGCCGUAAGAC